GACGAACCGUGCGAACGUUAUUCGGAAUCACUGGGCUUAAAGCGCGUGUAGGCGGGCCGGCACGUCGGUCGUUGAAAUCCCCCGGCUCAACCGGGGAAGCGGCGCCGAUACGACCGGCCUCGAGGGACGUAGGGGGGGCUGGAACUUCCGGUGGAGCGGUGAAAUGCGUUGAGAUCGGAAGGAACGCCCGUGGCGAAAGCGAGCCCCUGGACGUCUACUGACGCUGAGACGCGAAAGCUAGGGGAGCAAACAGG
rnacentral:rRNA from 1 species